GGCUUUGUUAUCAUCUUUGUAAACAAUUCCUCCUCGAAUGGAAACUAGUUAUCUAUAAAAUCUUGUUUGACCAAAAUAAAAAAAAAUAAAACUUCUGUUUGGGUUGGGUUCGAGUUUUGUAAAAGUAAAACUAGGAAAUAAAAAGCUCUCGCAUGUGGAAUGUUGGGAGUGAGAGACCAUAUGACUGAUUGAUUAGAUGUUAUGCUUGCCAUAUCUGUGGUUUGGUUCCUCUGCGUUUUUGGAGUAUAUCAUUAUUACCUGUGAGUAGGUUUCUUUUUCUUUUCCUCUCUUUCUUAGUGUAGCCAGCAAAUUCUGCACUGUCUGACAGAGUCUUUUGUUUAUCCUCUGAAAAAAUCAUUCGCAUCUCUCCCUCUUCAGGCUGCCUUUUGGUUUGAUCGUUGUAUCCUUUGUUUAAGGUUGGUGAAAGCUAUGUUAUGUAGUAGACAUGGGAUCAUAGGGUAUCAGUUUCAACAGGUUAGAAUGUUUUAAGGUUGCAGGAGAUGCGUGUGAAAAUGGGCCAACUUCUGAAAUAUGUCUUCUACACUUGUGGAGCAAACUGGCUUUUUCUACAGCAUUUCCUGCAGGAAACUCUGUUGGAUUAGACUUAGAAAAACAGAGUCAAGCUUAGUGCCAAGGAUGUACUUAAUCCCCAUGACUAUGUGUUUAUCAGAUAAACCGGAUACCACAACCACAUGACUAUGUGUUUGGAGCAUGAGAAGGUCAUUUAUGAGGGACUGUAGCCAAUUAUGGUACCGGUAUGUGUUGUUUUCUUUGGUAUUAUGCAUGCUGCAAAAGUAGAGGCACACAAAGUUGGAUGGUACAUCAAGAACAAUACCCACCAUUGGAA